CAGAGGAAGAUUGAAUCCUUAUUCGUCCCAGCUCAAUCACAAAGCUCAAAAAAUAGAGUGAUUAAGCUUGUUAAAGUUAACCAAAUACAGCCCACAGACACAGUAAUACAAAUUCAUUGAACUUCAGUCACAAGUCCCUGGAAUGAAAAGUACAAUGGUAAACAAAAAUCAUAAGAUGAAAUAUUUUCAGUAUACAAUCAUUAACUAAUUACUUGAAAACGAAAAUAUUUUUUACAAAAGCAAUAAAUAUGUCAUAGUUUAAAAAAGGCAAUUGUAUUAUUAAGGUAUGUUUUAUACUGACAAAUCUGUACCUGAAUUAGUGAAUAUUUGUGAAAUUAGAUAUGAACCAAAUAAA